CAGGACCAUCACACUGGGGACCGGCUUCUCUGCUCUCCCGUUAUGGGGGUCGGGGGAAUGAUGGGUCAAGGGUCUUCCGAAGAAAGCGAGAAAGGAACAGGCGCCUUCAAAAGCCCACUUGGCGAUGGGUUACAGUAAGAGGUACCUCCAGGCCCGGGCAUCCGCUGGAAACAGGGGUGGGUAGGGUCGUGUCAUCUAAAGGCGCAGCUUCAACCAGAAGACUAGAAGUCAGCCAGGAGCUGGGAGUAGUGUCACGCGGGGUGGGGGUUCCUAUGAGCAUCACUUUACAAAACCAGGAGGGACGGAAGUGCGAGGGGGCAGAGUCUUGGAAACAGGUCCUGGGCCAACUGCAACAGAAUAUACCCGCCGCGUGUAGGGGAAGGCGGCGCCAGGGAGAGGGCGCAGUCUCUGAAUCUUUCCACGGGGUCCAUCCUAGGGCCCCUCCAGGUUCAACGGUCUCCUAACCUGUAGUCACCCACAAGAGCGUGCCCUUUCUGCCCGCCCUUCCUAGCGUUGCUCCCUGCUUGGCUGAGCACUGCGGAGUUUCACGCCUCUAAACCCCGCCUCUUCUUGCAACCUGUGUUGGCCUCAUCUACCCAGCAACUGUCGACGUCACACGACCUGGGCCUCCCUGAAUGGGAGAUAUUUACUAGGCAAUCCCGCCUACUGUUCUGAGGUUUCCCCUCCAGGUGCAGCUUCAGAGCCAGGCGAGCCAGGAAGGACCAGCGGGCGAGGUGGAAGUCUGCAUUAUCACGAGGAGCUUGGAAAGGAGGUAACACACUCAAGGCAAAUUUCAAGUAACUCAUCCUGGAGGCAGCUGCCUACUCUGCAGCUGUGGUUCUCCACCACAGAGAGAAGAAAAGGGAGGGAGAUGGAGUGCGCAGGUCUGAGAAGGCUUUCAUUCUGGAGCAUCUGCAGGAGCCUGCACCAUGGCCCAGUAGCACCCCUUUUUCUCCAUGAGCUGCUGGUGGGUUCCCCCCUCCCGGAUAGCGCCUCCUUCCAGAAAGAGGAUGUG
ensembl:lncRNA PSMB8-AS1 PSMB8 antisense RNA 1 (head to head)